GGGGGAUAUUGCGCAAUGGGGGCAACCCUGACGCAGCAACGCCGCGUGAAGGAUGAAGGUUUUCGGAUUGUAAACUUCUUUUAUUAAGGACGAAAAAUGACGGUACUUAAUGAAUAAGCUCCGGCUAACUACGUGCCAGCAGCCGCGGUAAUACGUAGGGAGCAAGCGUUGUCCGGAUUUACUGGGUGUAAAGGGUGCGUAGGCGGCUUUGCAAGUCAGAUGUGAAAUCUAAGGGCUCAACCCAUAAACUGCAUUUGAAACUGUAGAGCUUGAGUGAAGUAGAGGCAGGCGGAAUUCCCCGUGUAGCGGUGAAAUGCGUAGAGAUGGGGAGGAACACCAGUGGCGAAGGCGGCCUGCUGGGCUUUAACUGACGCUGAGGCACGAAAGCGUGGGUAGCAAACAGGAUUAGAUACCCUGGUAGUCCACGCUGUAAACGAUGAUUACUAGGUGUGGGGGGUCUGACCCCUUCCGUGCCGGAGUUAACACAAUAAGUAAUCCACCUGGGGAGUACGGCCGCAAGGUUGAAACUCAAAGGAAUUGACGGGGGCCCGCACAAGCAGUGGAGUAUGUGGUUUAAUUCGAAGCAACGCGAAGAACCUUACCAGGUCUUGACAUCCAACUAACGAAGUAGAGAUACAUUAGGUGCCCUUCGGGGAAAGUUGAGACAGGUGGUGCAUGGUUGUCGUCAGCUCGUGUCGUGAGAUGUUGGGUUAAGUCCCGCAACGAGCGCAACCCUUGCUAUUAGUUGCUACGCAAGAGCACUCUAAUAGGACUGCCGUUGACAAAACGGAGGAAGGUGGGGACGACGUCAAAUCAUCAUGCCCCUUAUGACCUGGGCUACACACGUACUACAAUGGAUGUUAACAGAGGGAAGCAAGACAGCGAUGUGGAGCAAACCCCUAAAAACAUUCUCAGUUCAGAUUGCAGGCUGCAACCCGCCUGCAUGAAGAUGGAAUUGCUAGUAAUCGCGGAUCAGCAUGCCGCGGUGAAUACGUUCCCG
rnacentral:rRNA from 1 species